rnacentral:rRNA from 1 species
AGUGAACGCUGGCGGUAGGCCUAACACAUGCAAGUCGAACGGCAGCACAGUAAGAGCUUGCUCUUACGGGUGGCGAGUGGCGGACGGGUGAGGAAUACAUCGGAAUCUACUUUUUCGUGGGGGAUAACGUAGGGAAACUUACGCUAAUACCGCAUACGACCUACGGGUGAAAGCAGGGGAUCUUCGGACCUUGCGCGAUUGAAUGAGCCGAUGUCGGAUUAGCGAGUUGGCGGGGUAAAGGCCCACCAAGGCGACGAUCCGUAGCUGGUCUGAGAGGAUGAUCAGCCACACUGGAACUGAGACACGGUCCAGACUCCUACGGGAGGCAGCAGUGGGGAAUAUUGGACGAUGGGCGCAAGCCUGAUCCAGCCAUACCGCGUGGGUGAAGAAGGCCUUCGGGUUGUAAAGCCCUUUUGUUGGGAAAGAAAAGCAGCAGGUUAAUACCCCGCUGUUCUGACGGUACCCAAAGAAUAAGCACCGGCUAACUUCGUG